GCCGGGGUGGCUCAGUGGUUGAGCGUUGACCUAUGAACUGGGCGGUCAAGGUUUGAUUCCUUGUCAGGGCA
rnacentral:tRNA from 1 species